rnacentral:rRNA from 1 species
AUUGAACGCUGGCGGCAUGCCUAACACAUGCAAGUCGAGCGGAUGAAGGGGGCUUGCUCCUGGAUUCAGCGGCGGACGGGUGAGUAAUGCCUAGGAAUCUGCCUGGUAGUGGGGGAUAACGUCCGGAAACGGGCGCUAAUACCGCAUACGUCCUGAUGUAGAAAGUGGGGGAUCUUCGGACCUCACGCUAUCAGAUGAGCCUAGGUCGGAUUCGCUAGUUGGUGGGGUAAAGGCCUACCAAGGCGACGAUGCGUAACUGGUCUGAGAGGAUGAUCAGUCACACUGGAACUGAGACACGGUCCAGACUCCUACGGGAGGCAGCAGUGGGGAAUAUUGGACAAUGGGCGAAAGCCUGAUCCAGCCAUGCCGCGUGUGUGACGAAGGUCUUCGGAUUGUAAAGCACUUUAAGUUGGGAGGAAGGGCAGUAAGUUAAUACCUUGCUGUUUUGACGUUACCAACAGAAUAAGCACCGGCUAACUUCGUG